rnacentral:rRNA from 1 species
AGCGAACGCUGGCGGCAGGCUUAACACAUGCAAGUCGAGCGGGCACCUUUCGGGGUGUCAGCGGCGGACGGGCGAGUAACGCGUGGGAACGUGCCCUCUGGUUCGGAAUAACUCAGGGAAACUUGAGCUAAUACCGGAUACGCCCUUUUGGGGAAAGGCUUGCUGCCGGAGGAUCGGCCCGCGUCUGAUUAGCUAGUUGGUGAGGUAACGGCUCACCAAGGCGACGAUCAGUAGCUGGUCUGAGAGGAUGAUCAGCCACACUGGGACUGAGACACGGCCCAGACUCCUACGGGAGGCAGCAGUGGGGAAUAUUGGACAAUGGGCGCAAGCCUGAUCCAGCCAUGCCGCGUGAGUGAUGAAGGCCUUAGGGUUGUAAAGCUCUUUUAUCCGGGACGAUAAUGACGGUACCGGAGGAAUAAGCCCCGGCUAACUUCGUG